rnacentral:rRNA from 1 species
CCUACGGGUGGCAGCAGUGGGGAAUAUUGGACAAUGGGCGAAAGCCUGAUCCAGCCAUGCCGCGUGUGUGAAGAAGGCCUUCGGGUUGUAAAGCACUUUCAGUGGGGAAGAAAGCCUUGGGGCUAAUACCCUCGAGGAAGGACAUCACCCACAGAAGAAGCACCGGCUAACUCCGUGCCAGCAGCCGCGGUAAUACGGAGGGUGCGAGCGUUAAUCGGAAUUACUGGGCGUAAAGCGCGCGUAGGCGGUCUGAUAAGCCGGUUGUGAAAGCCCCGGGCUCAACCUGGGAACGGCAUCCGGAACGGUCAGGCUAGAGUGCAGGAGAGGAAGGUAGAAUUCCCGGUGUAGCGGUGAAAUGCGUAGAGAUCGGGAGGAAUACCAGUGGCGAAGGCGGCCUUCUGGACUGACACUGACGCUGAGGUGCGAAAGCGUGGGUAGCAAACAGGAUUAGAUACCCCUGUAGUC